rnacentral:lncRNA from 1 species
GAACCUUCAUAUGCUGCAUGUGUGGCCCUAAAAAGCAAAAAAAAAAAAAAAAAAAAAAAAUUCAGUAUACAAAAGCCAAUGCUUGUGCUUUAAAUCAACAGUCAUCAAAAUGUACAGUUUUAGAAGUUGCCUGCUGUGGUGCAGUGGGUUAAUGACCUGGCGUCUGUGGUGGCACUGAUUUGAGCCUCUGCCUGGUGCAGUGGGUUAAGGAUUCAGUAUUGCUGCAGCUGUGGUGUAGGUCACAGCUCCAGUUUGGAUUUGAUCCCUGGCCCAGGAGCCUCCUUAGGCUGUGGAGGCAGCUGAAAAUAGAAAUAAUAUAUAUAUGUACAUAUACACACACACACACAAUUUUAAAAGCCUUAAAAUGGUAACUAGAGUAGAAAAUAUCUAGGAAUAAACUUGACGUAAGAAAAGUAUGCAGGACCCAUAUAAAUAAAACUGUAAAACUUUUCUGGGAGACUUGAAGACUUAAAUAAAUGAUAGGGCAUACCACAUUCUUGGAUGGCAUAACUCAAUAAUUCAGCCAUUUCAAUUCUAAUAAAAAUGUCAGAAGUAUUUUUUUUUAACUAGACUAUAUAAUCCUAAGGUCACCUGGGAAGCUUAAUAAAAGGCCGAAGAAUUUUCAGACCAUUGAGAGGUGACUUACACUGCUAGAAAGAAAGAUUUAUUAUCAAAGCAGCAUGAUUCUUGUUUAAGAAUAGAAAUAGCCCCCAAAACAGGUUCAAGUAUAUACAUUUGGUUUAAGAUAAAGGUGGAAUUUAACAUUCUUAUGCUUCUUAAGGUACAGAAAGUUGCUAAGCACAUCAUUCCUACCCCAAUAAGGAGAAAAUGACAGAUAAACUGCAAAAUCAUUACUUGUGUAGAACUCAGAGAAGGAUAAGGAUGCGAGGCAGCCAAGUAGCCUCAUUCCAAAGAGAGAAAAGCCCCUCGAGGAAAGGUGAGCUUCACAAACUGUCUUUGCUCUGGGAGAGCAUAGGGAACAGAGAGAGGCACUGACACUGUCCCCAUGGGGAGAAUAAAUCAGCCGAAUAAUAUGCCAUUGGAGUUCCCGUCGUGUCGCAGUGGAAAUGAAUCCGACUAGGAACCGUGAGGUUGCAGGUUCAAUCCUUGGCCUCAUUCAGUGGGUUAAGGAUCCGGUGUUGCCGUGAGCUGUGGUGUAGGUUGCAGACAUGGUUCAGAUCUGGUGUUGCUGUGGCUGUGGCAUAGGCCUGCAGUUGCAGCUCCAACUGGACCCCUAGCCUGGGAACCUCCAUAUGCCGCGGGAGAGGCCCUAGAAAAGGCACAAAGACAACAACAACAACAACAACAACAACAAAAAGCUAUCUAAAGCCAUGUGUGGGUGAGCUAUAGAUGAGUAGAUGAGCCUUUACAUCUGGAUGAGCUGAGGUAGCAGAGGAGUUCCUACUCAGCUACAGACUCUUCCGCAGCCUUCCACCAGGUGCUCCAGCUCCCUCUGGGGGCCAGUCAGAGCGAGGCGAUCCAGGCAUGUUGGGGACAUAAAAUACCAGGGGCUUCCCUAUAUUUUUCUCCCUAGGAAUCAAAAGCUCUAAGCUCCUCGGGGUAGGGCAGCAAACUCAGUUGCCCGCAGGGUUCAAGGUGAUCAGUGGAUGUGGGGUCUAAGGUCCUGCCUGCCUUCCUGGACAGUCUUCCCUGGACAGUAGAGUACAGUCUCAAGUCUCCGUGCAGCAGAGCCCAUUACCCCCGGGGCAGUCAGACCAAGACGCAUUGCUUAGUAGCUGCCUGAAAAGCAUUUGAUGAUAUUAAACUUACAUUUAUGAUAAAAACUCAGCAGACUAGCAUUUCCUCAGCCUGAUAAAGGACAUCUACAAAGCCCUGUGGCUACCAUCAUACUUAACGGUGGAAGAUGGAAUGUAUUAGUUGCAGAACGUCCAUACAACGGAAUGCGUCUCGUCGAUAAAAUGGAUGAAUUACCGAUACAAGCAGCAACAUGGGUGAAUCUCAAAAGCAUUAUGGCGUCACUCUCAGCCCCAUCUGGAGGAAGACAAGGCCCCUGUGUAAGGGUACCGUGGGCUGCGUGUGUCCAGGACCAGUGGUUAUGAGCAGAUGCAUACCUGCCAUGUGCCAGACCUUGUAGUAAGUGCUGGGACUGUGGAUCAAGGCGGGCCCCUGGUGCUGACCUCAGGCAUCUGGCCAGGUGCAGAUGAAGCCGUAAGCACCUGGGGGACUACGAAGAGACGGGAGAGCCGGAGGACUCUCUGCAAUGUGGCAUCUGGGAAGGGUCCUCCCGGAAGUGCCAUUUAUGCUGAGACCUGAAGUCUAAGGAGUGCUCGUCCUGCCGAGUACGAGGGGAGAAUGUUCCAGGCAAAGGCCCUGUGUGAAGAGGACACCUAGUUAGUCUGAGGAACUCAUGGACGUGCAGAGUGCGAGAAGCACAGAAGGACGGGGCGAGGGAGAGUGCGGCCCAAGCAGUUGGUGAAGACGCCGGCUUCAGAGAGGGGGCUCUGAGUGCAACGGGAAGCUUGAAGCUGAGGGGUGGCAGGACCCAGUGCCCAGUCUGGCCACCGAUGGAGAAUUGCCUGGAGGGGGCAGGCGUGAGUUGAUCCAGGGAAACAGGAGAGGGGAGGGAUCAGGGCUGGUUCCUAGCUCUCUGGCUGGAGCAGCCCUUUGAAUGGAUGUGCUAUAUGCUCAGGUGGGAAAUAGCAGAGGACCACUCUCUCUGGGGGCUUAAAUACUCAGAUUGUUUUUUAUUGUGGCAGGGUAUAUGUAUAAAACAUAAAAUCGACCAUUUAAAAUCAACACUUCUGUGGCACUAGGUACAGUCACAUUGUUGUGCCACCAACACCACUCUGCAUCUUCAAAAUUUUUUCUUCUUCUCCAUCUGAAGCUCUGUACCCACUUAACACGAACUCCCCAUUCUCCGCUCCCCCAGCUUCCGGCAACCAUCACUCCACUUUUGUCUCUAUGAAUUUAAUUCUCUCGGUACCUCAUAUAAUCAUACAAUAUCUGUCCUUUGGUGACUGGCUUAUUUCACUCCAUAUAAUAUCUCCGAGGUUUAUCCAUGCUGUGGCAGGUGUCAGAAUAUCCCUUUUAAGGCUUAAAGCUGUUCCAUCGUGUGUAUAGGCCGUGUUUUAUUUAUUCCUCCAUCUGUUGAUGGGCAUUUGGGUUGCUUCCACCUUUCAGCUCUUUGUCAAUUAAUUAUGCUAUUAUGAGCAUGGGUGUACAAAUAUUUGUCCAAGUUCCUCCUUUCACUUCUUUUGAGUGUGUAUCCAGAAGUGGAAUUGCUGGCUCAUAUGAUAGUUCUCUUCUAAGUUUUUGGAGAAAACUCCAAAUUAUCUUCCAUACUGACUGCAGCACUUCUGAUUCCCACUUAGAGUGCACAAGGGUUUCAAUUUCCUACUUACUUGCCAACGCUCGUUAUUUAUUUUCUUGAUAAUCUCUAUCUUAAGAGGUGUGAAGUGGUAUCUCAUUGUGGUAAAACAUUCGGAUUUUAAUUUUUUAAUUUUUUAUUUACUUAUUUAUUUAUUUAGGGCCACACCUGCAGCAUAUGAAAAUUCCCAGGAUAGGGGUGGAAUUGGAGCUACAACUGCCAGCCUACACUACAGCCACAGCAACUGCAGAUCCGAGUUGCGUCUGCAACCUGUACUGGAGCUCCUGGCAACACCAGAUCCUUAACCUGCUGCGAGAGGCCAGGGAUGGAACCUGCAUCCUCAUGAUACUAGCUGGGUUCAAUUCUGCUGAGCCACAGUGGGAACUCCCCUCUGCCCCCCCCCCCUUUAUUUUUAGAUGUUAUAUUUGAGAUGCCUUAGAGUUAUUUCUGUGGCACUGUCAGGUAAAUGGUUGGCUAUACCAAGUGAGAUUUCGAAGAGAGGUCCUCUGCCCACAGGUCAGUUUAAAUGCCACUGACCCAGGUGUGCAGCAGCCUCAUGUAAAUGCCUCACCAGGAUGGACCUUCUGUAUUUGUUCUAAGGCGUCCUACCCUGGUCAGUGUGCCUGCUAUUUGAAGAUGUGAGCAUUUGGGCAUUUGGGUUCACUUCUGGUAAACAAAUGACAUUUUCUGUGUGUUUCUCCCCUCUUUGAUCCCGACUUCAUCUCCAGGGGAAAUUAACCAAGAAUUACUAAAUAUGAUCUACAAAUAAAAGUGGUAGAAAGCUUCAGAAUGAGGGAAUUAUUGUUUCAGUCCUUGAAGGCAAGUCUAGCUGAAGUCAGGUAGGUUUGAUGAUCCUUUAGAAUAAAUGGAAGGCAUUUUUGGUUAUUUUUCCCUUUCUUGGUAACAAAGAAAAUGCAGCUCUAGAGUGUUUUUCAAUUUCUUUCUCAGCUCCUUUUCAUUCUCUGAUUUCUUUACUCUUAAUGGGAUAAUAUAAACCAGUUUUCUGUCGUCUAUUAUUCAUCAAAGCUGUCGAUUUAUCCUGCACAGAACGAAGGCCAGGCUGUUAUUAAAAUAAAACAACUUCCAAUUGAGCUGCUAAUAAAUGCUGAAACGCAU